CCCGCAGGUUGUGGUUAUCAAACUGCAUGGUUGCGUUUGGCCGAGAUGCAAGGAGUUUCUUUGUUCCGGGGAUGGAUCGAAGAGGAUUGAGGUUUCUUGUAUCUCUAUUGUGUCUUGACCGUGUACAACCCAAAAACUGAGACAACCGAGCCGGAGAACAGAACUAUCUCAAAAGUUUCUCAAGCUCCACUGGGCGUCAAUCGGAUCGAUCCCCAUCCGUGAAAGGAUCUGAAGAAACCAUAUGGGCAAGUUUGGAGAAGCUUAGGAUCGUGAUCGAGGCUCGAGAUUGUUUGAACAAGAUGGAAGGAAGCCUCAGUAACAUGUGCCGUGGAGCACAUUUCAAAAUAUGCAGUAGCACAGUUGGAGAAUUCAAUUAUAUACUUCGGAGGGUGAAUGCAUUUAAUGGAAGAUAUUCUGUAACGGAAUAUUUUUUAAGGCUGAACCUGGAAGACAAUAUAUUUUUAGGGUUUACUUUUGUUUUAAUUUAGGAAAUUGAAUUUCAAAUAUUAGGAAACCCGGAUUUUCGGGAUCUGAAAGGGAUAUGAGGAAUUUCCUUUGGACUUUUUAGAUGAGAAAACAUGUAAUGGAGGGGAAAAGGAGAGAAGAACGUGUGACUCUUGGGGGGAGUCGACAGACCAAGGAACCAAGAGGAAGAACAUGUGAGUCGUGGUGGAGACUUGGAGAAGAUCGAAGACGACUCAUGCCCGAGACCUGUCGAGUUUCUUCCGGAUUUUCUUUUAUUCUUUCAUUUUUUUUUUUCAUGACAUGGAUUGUCUGAAUUUCGCCCCACUAAUUCUCAUAGACCGGUGUCCACCCACCACAAGUACACAGGACAGGUUAAACCGACUGAAAUUAUAGCCUUUCAAACCUGAGACGGGGGAUACUAAGCUCCCUCUUAUCACUAAGUCAAACCCGAAGAGGUUGUUCUUUCACUAUUAGAUCAUGUCUUCUAUAUUUUCUUGGAUGAUAAACAUGAUUGUCAUGAGCUAUUUCCAUUUUGCCUAGGGGUCA